rnacentral:rRNA from 1 species
GACGAACGCUGGCGGCGUGCUUAACACAUGCAAGUCGAACGGAAAGGCCCUGCUUUUGUGGGGUGCUCGAGUGGCGAACGGGUGAGUAACACGUGAGUAACCUGCCCUUGACUUUGGGAUAACUUCAGGAAACUGGGGCUAAUACCGGAUAGGAGCUCCUGCUGCAUGGUGGGGGUUGGAAAGUUUCGGCGGUUGGGGAUGGACUCGCGGCUUAUCAGCUUGUUGGUGGGGUAGUGGCUUACCAAGGCUUUGACGGGUAGCCGGCCUGAGAGGGUGACCGGCCACAUUGGGACUGAGAUACGGCCCAGACUCCUACGGGAGGCAGCAGUGGGGAAUAUUGCACAAUGGGCGGAAGCCUGAUGCAGCAACGCCGCGUGCGGGAUGACGGCCUUCGGGUUGUAAACCGCUUUCGCCUGUGACGAAGCGUGAGUGACGGUAAUGGGUAAAGAAGCACCGGCUAACUACGUGCCAGCAGCCGCGGUGAUACGUAGGGUGCGAGCGUUGUCCGGAUUUAUUGGGCGUAAAGGGCUCGUAGGUGGUUGAUCGCGUCGGAAGUGUAAUCUUGGGGCUUAACCCUGAGCGUGCUUUCGAUACGGGUUGACUUGAGGAAGGUAGGGGAGAAUGGAAUUCCUGGUGGAGCGGUGGAAUGCGCAGAUAUCAGGAGGAACACCAGUGGCGAAGGCGGUUCUCUGGGCCUUUCCUGACGCUGAGGAGCGAAAGCGUGGGGAGCGAACAGGCUUAGAUACCCUGGUAGUCCACGCUGUAAACGGUGGGUACUAGGUGUGGGGUCCAUUCCACGGGUUCCGUGCCGUAGCUAACGCUUUAAGUACCCCGCCUGGGGAGUACGGCCGCAAGGCUAAAACUCAAAGGAAUUGACGGGGCCCCGCACAAGCGGCGGAGCAUGCGGAUUAAUUCGAUGCAACGCGUAGAACCUUACCUGGGUUUGACAUGGAUCGGGAGCGCUCAGAGAUGGGUGUGCCUCUUUUGGGGUCGGUUCACAGGUGGUGCAUGGCUGUCGUCAGCUCGUGUCGUGAGAUGUUGGGUUAAGUCCCGCAACGAGCGCAACCCUUGUUCACUGUUGCCAGCACGUUAUGGUGGGGACUCAGUGGAGACCGCCGGGGUCAACUCGGAGGAAGGUGGGGAUGACGUCAAGUCAUCAUGCCCCUUAUGUCCAGGGCUUCACGCAUGCUACAAUGGCUGGUACAGAGAGUGGCGAGCCUGUGAGGGUGAGCGAAUCCCGGAAAGCCGGUCUCAGUUCGGAUUGGGGUCUGCAACUCGACCUCAUGAAGUCGGAGUCGCUAGUAAUCGCAGAUCAGCAACGCUGCGGUGAAUACGUUCCCGGGGCU